CAAGUCGAACGAGUUCUCGUUGAUGAUCGGUGCUUGCACCGAGAUUCAACAUGGAACGAGUGGCGGACGGGUGAGUAACACGUGGGUAACCUGCCCUUAAGUGGGGGAUAACAUUUGGAAACAGAUGCUAAUACCGCAUAGAUCCAAGAACCGCAUGGUUCUUGGCUGAAAGAUGGCGUAAGCUAUCGCUUUUGGAUGGACCCGCGGCGUAUUAGCUAGUUGGUGAGGUAAUGGCUCACCAAGGCGAUGAUACGUAGCCGAACUGAGAGGUUGAUCGGCCACAUUGGGACUGAGACACGGCCCAAACUCCUACGGGAGGCAGCAGUAGGGAAUCUUCCACAAUGGACGCAAGUCUGAUGGAGCAACGCCGCGUGAGUGAAGAAGGCUUUCGGGUCGUAAAACUCUGUUGUUGGAGAAGAAUGGUCGGCAGAGUAACUGUUGUCGGCGUGACGGUAUCCAACCAGAAAGCCACGGCUAACUACGUGCCAGCAGCCGCGGUAAUACGUAGGUGGCAAGCGUUAUCCGGAUUUAUUGGGCGUAAAGCGAGCGCAGGCGGUUUUUUAAGUCUGAUGUGAAAGCCCUCGGCUUAACCGAGGAAGCGCAUCGGAAACUGGGAAACUUGAGUGCAGAAGAGGACAGUGGAACUCCAUGUGUAGCGGUGAAAUGCGUAGAUAUAUGGAAGAACACCAGUGGCGAAGGCGGCUGUCUGGUCUGUAACUGACGCUGAGGCUCGAAAGCAUGGGUAGCGAACAGGAUUAGAUACCCUGGUAGUCCAUGCCGUAAACGAUGAAUGCUAGGUGUUGGAGGGUUUCCGCCCUUCAGUGCCGCAGCUAACGCAUUAAGCAUUCCGCCUGGGGAGUACGACCGCAAGGUUGAAACUCAAAGGAAUUGACGGGGGCCCGCACAAGCGGUGGAGCAUGUGGUUUAAUUCGAAGCAACGCGAAGAACCUUACCAGGUCUUGACAUCUUUUGAUCACCUGAGAGAUCAGGUUUCCCCUUCGGGGGCA
rnacentral:rRNA from 1 species